UACGAAGGGGACUAGCGUUGUUCGGAAUUACUGGGCGUAAAGCGUGCGCAGGCGGUGAUGUAAGACAGAUGUGAAAUCCCCGGGCGCAACCUGGGAACUGCAUUUGUGACUGCAUCGCUGGAGUGCGGCAGAGGGGGAUGGAAUUCCGCGUGUAGCAGUGAAAUGCGUAGAUAUGCGGAGGAACACCGAUGGCGAAGGCAAUCCCCUGGGCCUGCACUGACGCUCAUGCACGAAAGCGUGGGGAGCAAACAGG
rnacentral:rRNA from 1 species